rnacentral:rRNA from 1 species
UACGUAGGCAGCAAGCGUUGUUCGGAGUUACUGGGCGUAAAGGGUGUGUAGGCGGUUCGAUAAGUCGGGUGUGAAACCUCCAGGCUCAACCUGGAGACGCCACCCGAUACUGUCGUGACUAGAGUCCAGUAGGGGAGCGUGGAAUUCCUGGUGUAGCGGUGAAAUGCGCAGAGUAUCAGGAGGAACACCGGUGGCGAAGGCGGUUCUCUGGGCCUGUACUGACGCUGAGGAGCGAAAGCGUGGGGGAGCGAACAGG